rnacentral:tRNA from 1 species
GGGGGUAUAGCUCAGUUGGUCAGAGCAUGCGUCUUAUACACGCAGUGUCCUUGGUUCGAGUCCAAGUACCCCCACCA